UACGUAGGGGGCUAGCGUUGUCCGGAAUCAUUGGGCGUAAAGCGCGUGUAGGCGGCCCGGUAAGUCCGCUGUGAAAGUCGGGGGCUCAACCCUCGGAUGCCGGUGGAUACUGUCGGGCUUGAGUACGGAAGAGGCGAGUGGAAUUCCUGGUGUAGCGGUGAAAUGCGCAGAUAUCAGGAGGAACACCAAUGGCGAAGGCAGCUCGCUGGGACGGUACUGACGCUGAGACGCGAAAGCGUGGGGAGCAAACAGG
rnacentral:rRNA from 1 species